UACGGAGGGGACUAGCGUUGUUCGGAAUUACUGGGCGUAAAGCGCACGUAGGCGGAUUUGUAAGUCAGGGGUGAAAUCCCGGGGCUCAACCUCGGAACUGCCUUUGAUACUGCAAAUCUCGAGUCCGGAAGAGGUGAGUGGAAUUCCUAGUGUAGAGGUGAAAUUCGUAGAUAUUAGGAAGAACACCGGUGGCGAAGGCGGCUCACUGGCUCGUUUCUGACGCUCAGGCGCGACAGCGUGGGGAUCAAACAGG
rnacentral:rRNA from 1 species